rnacentral:rRNA from 1 species
UACGUAGGGUGCGAGCGUUGUCCGGAAUUAUUGGGCGUAAAGGGCGCGUAGGCGGACCUGCAAGUCGGGGGUGAAAGCCCGAGGCUUAACCUCGGAACUGCCUUCGAUACUGCGGGUCUCGAGUCCGGGAGAGGUGAGUGGAAUUCCUAGUGUAGAGGUGAAAUUCGUAGAUAUUAGGAAGAACACCAGUGGCGAAGGCGGCUCACUGGCCCGGUACUGACGCUGAGGCGCGAAAGCGUGGGGAGCAAACAGG